GCCACCCUCGUAUGUACCCACCACGGCCCAGUCUGCCACCUUCCUCCAGGCAGAGCCUCCCACAGCUGCUGGAGCCUCCCCUAGGAGCUCCACUGGGGAGAAGCAGAGGUCCUCUCCUACCCCUUAGCCCUGGGGUCUGGAAUUCAACCCUCCCCCACUCUGUUCCCAGUUGCCCUCUGUUUGACAAGAGGAGCUUGGAAACCACCUCGAUCCAGUCCUCAAACUCCCCUUCCCCUGUGCCGCUCUGAAUUCCAGGCUAUCCCCACGAUAUAGCCAAAGCACCCUGGCUUGCUUUGAAAGUGUCUGGGGAGUUUUUGAUCCCCUGAAAAAAAAAGGCAUUUAUUAUCAGAGACUGUUUGUACCAUAUUUUAGUGUCCUCAAGAGACAAAGAGAAUUCUCUCUGCAGUUGAGUAAGCUUCAAAAUAGAAAAUCGGAGGGUGGGGUAGGUGACGGCCAAAAAGCAAUCAUUUAUCAACCAGCGGGGAAGCAGGGACCGUAAACCUCUUUGGUGGCUGCAGGUUUCAUCACAGCCUGACUUAUGCACCUGACUCUGGAGAGGAGGUGAGAAUGGGGUGUGCAGAAGUCAGUGGGUCCCGCAGUCUUCCCUCCUUCAGCGUUGGUGGCCACAGUCUGUCUGUGGUCACUUGCCCCCACAGCCCCCUGCUCUGCCUUCCAUUUAUCGAGACCUUUCCCUUGCAUUUGCGGAGGGGGAAGAAGCAGAGGUUAGGUUGCUGACAUUCUGCACACCCCACAACUCCCCAGAGAAAUCCUGGGGCUGAUCAGUAGAAUCCAGCCACCUUUCACUGGCAGAAGGCACAGUGUUUUUCUCCCUGGAGGUUUUUAACCUGUUACUUCAUGUAAGCCUCCUAUUGUCAAAUAGAGAGAAACUGAGGGGCUUUGGAAGCAAACAGACUUGGGAAAUUCUUGGCAAAUUCUUAACUCUAUCUCUUUGUGGGUGACCUGGGAUAUGUUCCCGGUGUCCUCAGCCUCUGAGUGCUCUUGGAAGAUUAAAUGGGAUAAACCAUGUGGAGUGACCAGUGCGAGGCCCAGCAUGUUCUAGAAGCUCAAAGGAAUGGCUACCACAAGUCAAGCCUAUUCUAGAUACCGAGGAAGUUGUCCACAGAGGGAAAAAAUUAUACCAAGAAGCAAGAGAGCCUGUUUUCUGACCCCCUCUCAGUCACUUGGUAAUUAUUAUUCCUCAAUCUUCACAUCUGAGGAUAUAACUAUUUUACCUGACUGAAGACAGAAGGGGUAUACCAGAUGGUUUCACCAAGAUCCAUCAAAUUCUAGUCAAAGAUUCUUCCAUUUUAAUUAAGCCCAUUGCUUCCUGUUUGAUCUUCUAAGGGCAGAGAAUAACAAUGUAAGCUCUGACCAUUUAAAAAAAUCAUCAUUCCUGCUCUAAUCAUCUCAAACCAUUCAUUCACUGGUCAUCCCGGGAAGGUCAACAGCAAUCUCCGAAGAGUCUGGUACCACGUCCUCCUCACAAGUCACUGCUAUAAGACUGACACUUAUCAAAAUGUCUGCCCAUCUCCACAGAGACGCUCCUAAUGUGCCUUGUUUCUGCUUUAUGACAAUGACCUUGGUUACAGCCAGUUGGUCCAGGAAUAGGCACCUGACCCAGUCUGGGCCAAUCUGGCCCCCUCUCUUGGGAAUGGUGACCAAAAGAGUCUGUCUCAGCAGAAACUGGAAAUGUAACAUAAACAGUCAUAAGCCAGGGGCCUGCUGGCAGUGCCAUGGGGGCUAAAGAACAGAAAAGGCUAGUCUACAAAGAAAGAAGAGAAUGAAAUUGAUGUCCAAGAAAACUGGAUUCAAGACACCAGAGAGAAAAUGAGCCAACCCAUUCACACUUCCAGGCCCUUUCUGAGGCAUGACAAUGUGGCAGAAUGUAUUUUCCAAUAUUUUCCAUCCCAUACGCUCUUCCAGAACCUUGCCACUGCAUCAAAAGAUGGUGUCUAUAUCCCUUCCGCCUGAAACGGUGAGCCUUUGUGACUGCUCACACUUCUAGGAUGUGGCAGAAGUGACGCUGUGUGAUUGCUGAGGCUAGAUCAUAAAAGGCAACACAGCUUGCACACAGCUCUAUCUCUUUGGACACUCAUCCUUGGAAUGGCAGCCACCAUGCUCUGAGGAAGCACAGGUCACAUGGAGCGCCCCACUUGGAGACAAAUGGAGGCCCCCCAGCCCUCAGUGCUGGCUGAGCAACCAGCAGACAGCCAGCACCAACCUGCCACCAGGUGAGUGUGCCAUCUUGAAAGCAGAUCCUCCAGUCCCAGUGAAACCAGCCCAGGUAACACCACAUGAAGCAGAGGUGAGACUUCCCCACUGAGCUCCAUGUAAAUUGCAGAUUCAGGAGCAAUAUAUGAUUGUCACUUAAAACUGCUAAAUUUGAGGUUGGUUUGUGAAGCAGCAAUAAAUCACUAGAACAAUGAUGUCUCUGUCUUCAAUUUACAAAAGACAGCCCUAUAUCCUUAGAGCAAAGCCCCCAUUCUGGCUUAAGCUAGUUCACUUGGGUUUAUUUGACCUACAACUAAAGAAUGAAAGCUAUUGAAGGCUUCUUUUCCCACUUUAAAUAGGAGUGAGAGGAGGAAAAGGAAAUUAAGGCUCUCUUUCUAAUCUGCAGCCCACCACAUGCGUUCAGGUACUCAGGUAAGGGUCCUUAGUCUUUUCCACAUGUAUGUGUAUAUUUGCAUAGCUGGAACCUUAAGCUUUUUUACUCCCUUAAGCAUUAGUUAUGAGGUUUUGCUCACUGUGGACACUUAACCCCAAAGACGACUGUCAGCCACAGAGUGUUAACAAAACCAAAAGACUCUUUCCAUUAAGAACAAUGAUCCUGGCCAGGCACGGUGGCUCACACCUGUAAUCCCAGCACAUUGGGAGGCUGAGGCAGGCGGAUCACCUGAGGUCAGGAGUUUGAGACCAGUCUAGCCAACAUGAUGAAACCCAUCUCUACUAAAAAUACAAUAAAUUAGCCAGGCGUGGUGGUGGGUGCCUGUAAUCCCAGCUAUUCGGGAGGCUGAGGUGGGAGAAUCGCUUGAACCUGGGAGGCAAAGGUUGCAGUGAGCUAAGAUCAUGCCAUUGCACUCCAGCCUGGGCGACAAGAGUGAGAUUCCAUCUCAAAAAAAAAAAAAAAGCUGGGCACGGUGGCUUACGCCUGUAAUCCUAUCACUUUGGGAGGCUAAGGCAGGUGGAUUACCUGAGGUCCGGAGUUUAAGACCAGCCUGGCCAAUAUGGUGAAACCUUGUCUCUACUAAAAAAUACAAAAAUUAGCCAGGUGCAUUGGCAUGCGCCUGUAAUCCUAGCUACUCUGGAGGCUGAGGCAGGAGAAACACUGGAACCCGGGAGAUGGAGGUUGAGGUGAGCCAAGAUCACACCACUGCACUUAGCCUGGGCUACAGAGCAAGACUCCAUCUCAAAAAAAAAAGAACAGUGAUCCUUCCUGGCACAGGCUGCUCUGCCCAGCCCCCGUCACAUAACAUGUAUCACAUGACAUAGAUCACAUAACAUGCAUCACAUAACGUACAUUACAUAACUUUGUCAUAUAACAUAUCACAUAACACUUAACGUAGCACUGCAUCAUAGAACAUACAUCAUGUAAUGCUGCAUCAUAUACAACACAUAAUACCACAUAACAACAUACACACCACAUAACACUGCAUCAUAUAACAUGCAUGAUAUAACACCACAUCACAUACCUUACAUCAUCAUAUAACACAUAUCACAUAACACUGCAUCAUAUUAUAUAUCAUAUAACACUGCAACAUAUAACAUAUCACAUAACAUACAUCACAUCAUAUAACACUGCAAAAUAUACAUCACAUAAUACCACAUCACAUACCAUACAUCAUCACAUUACAUAUAUUACAUAGCACAGCAUCAUAUAUAUCACAUAACACUGCAACAUAUAACAUACCGCAUACCAUACAUCACAUAACAUAUAUCACAUAACAUGGUAUCCUAUAACAUCACAUAACUGCAACAUAUGUAUCACAUAACGUAUAACACAUAACGUAUGUCACAUCACACAUACCACAUAACACCACAUCACCAGAUGUACAUACUUCAGUAAUUCAUUAUCUUGUGCAGAAGAAAAAACAAAGAUACAAAGUCUGGGUGACCUGGAUGUUGCCCCCUAAAAGUCAGAGUCUGAGCCACUGCCAGGGACACCCAGGACUCCUGAGUACCUUUAGGUUGAGCCGAGCCUUCAGCCAAAGGGACUAAGGAUCCACCAUCAGGAAAGAGGUAAGAAGGAACUGGAAACAGUUGUGGCCCAUCAAGAAGUUUCAGCCAGUCAGGAUGGAUCCACCAUCAGGAAAGAGGUAAGAAGGAACUGGAAACAGUUGUGGCCCAUCAAGAAGUUUCAGCCAGUCAGGAUGUAUCCACCACACAUGGUUACCACAAACCCCAUCAUAACAAAAACUCUAUGUCAUAUAAAGAUUUCCAAGCCCUGGCAAGAACCAAUAUACUGAGUUCCAGGGAAAUCAAUACAUUUCAACAGAGUCUUGGUAUAUAUGGCAAUGAGAUUUGACCCAGUGUCAUCUCCAGGGUUGAAGAAAUGUUGGAAAUGAGUUCCAGGGAAAUCAAUACAUUGCAACAGCCUUGGCAUAUAUGGCAAUGAGACUCGACCCAGUAUCCUCUCCAAGGCUGAAGAAAUGGCAGAGCAAAAAGCCAUUGCUAUACCACUCUCCUGACCUGGCCAUGGAGUAAGGACUAAAAUGAAGGCCAAUAUUAAUAUGCCGCCUUGAUAUCUGGUGAGACUGGGAAGAUGUUGCAUGGCCUAACCACAAGUUCCUCUCCCCACUCCUAUGGGAAAGAUCCCCCAGCCAGACAACCCUCCUUGGCAAAGGGACCAGGUGCAGUUCCUGCUUAUCCUUGAGUAGUGGGUUUCAUUUCUCUGCCAACUAUGGACUUAUUCAAACAAACCAAUCACAUCCCCUCAUGGAAACAAGGGGACACCUCACCCUCUUGAUACUACAAAACCUGACGCCCACAGCCCUGUUUGUUACUUCUGUACCUGCCUCAGCAUAACCCCUGCACUCAGCUGCUGUUGGGAUCAUCUGCCCAGGGUCAGGUGCUAUGUAUUUGGCCAUUGCAGUAACCUUAGUGUGGGAGUCCCCUUCUCACCCAUUGGUUGAAUAGGAGGCAAUUAAACCACUGGCCUUUCAAAAAGGUUCUGGUGCUUCCCAUCCAGCAGCCUUGGUGGUAUUGAGCAUCAGGAUUCAUUGGCUCUGCAGUCCAUUCAUUCAACAACAGUUAUUGCGUAGGUUUUGGUGCCAGGCACUGUCCUCCAGGGCCAUAUGCCCAGUUGCUGAGACCUUGUCCUUGACCUGUUGUGGACAUUAGUCAGCAACAUUUACUGACAACACACACCCACCCAAUUCCCAAUCAUUGGGAAGCAAUUGGCCUAACAAAACAGUCCUCCGCUGUGGGAUGUGUAUGGCAUGGGGCUGCAGUAAGGUCCUUGGUGCCAUAUUUAAGCUUCUACAUGUUCUAAUCCUGGUUCUUUCUUCCCCUCUAGAAGGCUGGAAACUUUUCAAAGAAGAAGAGGGUGAGUUUCUCUGACCAUAUUAGCCAUGAGCAGCCACAGUGAAAGAAUUAAUGAAUUAGUUGCCUUUGCUUAUCUUUGCCCUGGACUUCAGACCUCCUUCAGGAGCAAUGGAGGGAUCCAAAAGCCAACACUGGAAGAUGUGGAUGGUGCUUCCAGCUCAAGGACGUGGCCUCCAGCAAGUCCCUGAACAUCUUUAAGCCCUCACCUGUCAAACAGGGUUGGUGAUUACUUUUUUUUUUUUUUUUUGAGAUGGAGUCUCACUCUGCCUCCUAGGCUGGAGUGUGGUGGUGUGAUCCAGGCUCACUGCAACCUCCACCUCCCAGGUUCAAGCAAUUCUCCUGCUUCAGCACCACCCCCACCACCCCCACCCACCCCACCAAGCAGCUGGGAUUACAGGCAUGUGCUACCACGCCUGGCUAACUUUUAUAUUUUUUUAAGUAGAAACGGGUUUUUGCCAUGUUGGCCAGGCUGGUCUUGAACUCCUGACCUCAAGCAAUCCACCCACCUUGGCCUCCCAAAGUGCUGGGAUUAUAGGCAUGAGCCACCACGCCUAGCCAAUGAUCACAUUUUCCUACCUAACUCCCUGGGCUGCUGGGAUAGCAGAUGAGAAUGGGUGAGAGGUUCUUUGGAAAGUGAAGGUGGUGCUGUCCAGCAGCUAUGUCAGACUGCUAUGGUCUGAGUGUUUGUGUCCCACUACCCUGAGACAGAUAUGUUGAAAUCCCAAGCCGCAAUGUGAUGGUAUUCACCUUUGGGAAGUGAUUAGGUCAUGAGGGCUCUGCUUCAUGGGGUUAGUGCCCUUAUGAAAGAGGCCCAAGCGGGCCGGGCGCGGUGGCUCAUGCCUAUAAUUGCAGCACUUUGGGAGGCCAAGGCGGGCGGAUCACCUGAGGUCAGAAGUUUGAGACCAGCCUAACCGACAUGGAGAAACAACGUCUCUACUAAAAAUACAAAAUUAGCCGGGCGUGGUGGCGCAUGCCUGUAAUCCUAGCUACUCGGGAGGCUGAGGCAGGAGAAUCACUUGAACCCAGGUGGCACAGGUUGCGGCGAGCCGAGAUUCCACCAUUGCACUCCAGCCAGGGCAACAAGAGUGAAACUCUGUCUCAAAAAGAAAGAAAAAGAAAAAGAAAGAGGCCCAAGAGAGCUCAUUCACUCCUUUCAUCACAUGAGGACACAGCAAAAUGAUGGCUGUCUAUGAACCAGGAAGCAGGUCCUCACCAGACACCGGAUCUGCUGAUGUCUUGACAUUGGGCUUCCCAGCCUCCAGCACUGUGAGAAAUAAAUGUCUGAUGUUUAGAAGCCACCCAGUUUAUGGUAUUUUGUUAUAGUGGCCCGAAUGGUCUAAGACAGGCACCCAGUAGAAGGCAGCCCCUGUGUGUGGGUAGGUUCCACACAAAGGCAAGCCUAGCCCCAAGGUCGCCACCAACAAACCCCAGAGCCAUUUUUCCAUGGGGUCUGAAAACUGCACCAUUAGAUGCUGCUUAGUUUAGGACUUUAUAUUGGGUUGAAU
rnacentral:lncRNA from 1 species